rnacentral:rRNA from 1 species
AUUGAACGCUGGUGGCAGGCUUAACACAUGCAAGUCGAGCGGAGCGAGGGUGCUUGCACCUUAGCUUAGCGGCGGACGGGUGAGUGAUGCUUAGGAAUCUGCCUAUUAGUGGGGGACAACAUUCCGAAAGGAAUGCUAAUACCGCAUACGCCCUACGGGGGAAAGCAGGGGAUCUUCGGACCUUGCGCUAAUAGAUGAGCCUAAGUCGGAUUAGCUAGUUGGUGGGGUAAAGGCCUACCAAGGCGACGAUCUGUAGCGGGUCUGAGAGGAUGAUCCGCCACACUGGGACUGAGACACGGCCCAGACUCCUACGGGAGGCAGCAGUGGGGAAUAUUGGACAAUGGGCGGAAGCCUGAUCCAGCCAUGCCGCGUGUGUGAAGAAGGCCUUUUGGUUGUAAAGCACUUUAAGCGAGGAGGAGGCUCUUAAAGUUAAUACCCUUGAUGAGUGGACGUUACUCGCAGAAUAAGCACCGGCUAACUCUGUGCCAGCCGCCGCGGUAACAC